AAGUUGCUAGAACACUUAUUUCAUCAGUAAAUACCGUCCGUUAAAUUAGAUGCCAGUAAAAACAGUUGUAAUAUAAGUAAGAUUGGAUUGGUUUUGCAUGUCACAUAGUACCUAGGGACUCAUCUUUGACAAUUGUGAGGUUUUGCUGCUCUGGUGACAUAAAGUAAAAUUCGACAAGAAGGUUGCAUUUGCUUUUUGAAAAUGGAAUGGUAAAGAAUGAAAUGAAGGUAAGUAAUGAUAUUCAUCGCAAUGCUAGCAGAGUAGAUUUGUACCCAUGCUGUCUAACAGUGGAUACAAUGACCCAGCUUACUUCGGAGAAGGAACCAAGCUUACCGUAUUAGAAGAAAAUUAUAUCAUAUCAGAGCCCAAAGUGAAAAUUCUCCCACCAUCCAAAAAGGAGAUCAAGACGAAGAAUCGUGCCACCCUGGUUUGUGUGGCCACCGACUUCUAUCCUGAUCAUGUCUCGAUCGCCUGGAAGAUCAAAAGCCGCGAUGAGACCCCCCGCGAUGAGACCCCCCGUUCCAAGACGGAUGAGUCUGCAAUACGGUCAGACAAGUCCGGCAACUACAGCAUCACCAGUCGACUGAGGGUCAGAGCGGAAGAGUGGCAAAACACCCGGAAUAAAUUCUAUUGUUCAGUCAGCUUCUUCGAUGGAAACAAAACCAUAUACGUUAAUGCCACCAUCCAAGGGACCCUGUAUUGUGGCACUACAGCAGAGGAAAAUAAGUGGAGUGGAAAUGCAGCAGAGUUAUCGUAUAUUCUUGUCCUGGUGAAAAGUGCUCUGUUUGCGUUAUUUCUGGCAACCUUUGUAUGGAAAUUGAAGGGUUCCUCAGCAGCAAAGUUUCUUGACUGACAACAGACUGACAAGAAGAAACAUCAGAAGAAUCCUUUGAAAAAGAAACUAUAUAUGUGUGGUUUAUGUGUUUAUGAUAAGUAUAAUGUUAUUAUCAGGUGUUGCCUGUCAUCAUCUCUUAAGUAUCCAAGUUGUGUGUCAGGUUUUUCUUAAUUAUCCAAAAUGAGUUACAUUCAACAAUUGUAGAUUCCUACAGCUGUCAAAAAUGUUGACCAUCUGCAUAGUAUGUUUACUUCACAGGAUGUCAUGUGACCAAAGUUCUACUUUGGAACCCUUGUUCUCUGUAACAAUUCACUGAAUAUGAUUAUGGAGGGGGCAUGAUAAAGUAAUAUAAUAUAAAUGUAAAUGGAUGAAUAAUGGCUGUGAAAACUGAAUAUAAUAACUGAACAUAUAUUUCUAUAAAUGACCAAUAAUAUUGUCUGGCAGACAUCUAUAAUCAUUAAAGCUUCUGUUUUCAGUUUAGUGAAUAGUAGCGUGGUUUGUAAAAAUUUGAAAAGUGUAUGCAAAAGAGGAUAUUCGUGUCAUAUUUUGUUUGUUCUCCUGUUAAAAUGUAAUAUUAUGUUUUAUUAGCAAUUUACUAUAAUCCUAUAAUCCUUCUCCCGUACAAGCCGUACAAGAAUUUUAUACCAUAAACCAUGUAUUCCUAUGUUUAAUUAAAAUAUUUAGCUGGUAAACUGAA